rnacentral:tRNA from 1 species
UUGGGGUAUCGCCAAGCGGUAAGGCAGCGGAUUCUGAUUCCGCCAUCCCGAGGUUCGAAUCCUCGUACCCCAGCCAA